rnacentral:rRNA from 1 species
ACUCCUACGGGAGGCAGCAGUGGGGAAUAUUGCACAAUGGGCGCAAGCCUGAUGCAGCCAUGCCGCGUGUGUGAAGAAGGCCUUCGGGUUGUAAAGCACUUUCAGUCGUGAGGAAGGUAGUGUAGUUAAUAGCUGCAUUAUUUGACGUUUAGCGACAGAAGAAGCACCGGCUAACUCCGUGCCAGCAGCCGCGGUAAUACGGAGGGUGCGAGCGUUAAUCGGAAUUACUGGGCGUAAAGCGCAUGCAGGUGGUUUGUUAAGUCAGAUGUGAAAGCCCGGGGCUCAACCUCGGAAUAGCAUUUGAAACUGGCAGACUAGAGUACUGUAGAGGGGGUAGAAUUUCAGGUGUAGCGGUGAAAUGCGUAGAGAUCUGAAGGAAUACCGGUGGCGAAGGCGGCCCCUGGACAGAUACUGACACUCAGAUGCGAAA